rnacentral:lncRNA from 1 species
AGAAGACUGCUAUAUAUGGAGUUGUAUGCUUGGAUAUGGCUAUCUUUAUUUGAUGCCUUGAUCUUCAUGAUGUCUGAUGUUGCUAAUUGCCUGAUUAAUUAUUGCUUGAUUCAAAGUCCAAAGGGAAAAUAGGUUUUCUAUAUGACAUUCUUGUCUGUUGGAUUGCAUCCCAUUUGUCAGAUCUUUUCAACUCUUAACUUUUAAUUUUAUGCUUAG